CCUACGGGAUGCAGCAGUGGGGAAUAUUGCACAAUGGGCGCAAGCCUGAUGCAGCCAUGCCGCGUGUAUGAAGAAGGUCUUCGGAUUGUAAAGCACUUUCGACGGGGACGAUGGUGACGGUACCCGUAGAAGAAGCCCCGGCUAACUUCGUGCCAGCAGCCGCGGUAAUACGAAGGGGGCUAGCGUUGCUCGGAAUGACUGGGCGUAAAGGGCGCGUAGGCGGUUUAUGCAGUCAGAUGUGAAAUCCCCGGGCCUAACCUGGGAACUGCAUUUGAGACGCAUAGACUAGAGGUCGAGAGAGGGUUGUGGAAUUCCCAGUGUAGAGGUGAAAUUCGUAGAUAUUGGGAAGAACACCGGUGGCGAAGGCGGCAACCUGGCUCGAUACUGACGCUGAGGCGCGAAAGCGUGGGGAGCAAACAGGAUUAGAUACCCGCGUAGUC
rnacentral:rRNA from 1 species